CCAGCAGCUAAGGGGGGAAGGAGCUUUCUCUGAGCAAGCUGAGAGGAGGGGCCUGACUGCAGCAUGGAAAGAAAUGAACCACAAAACAUAUUCAAAUGGUCUCAAAGCUGUAAUCAAGAUCAGACAACCUGAACAUGCAAAAAAGAAAAUUCAAAAGUAAGUGUAGGACUUGAUCUGAGCCUGUGAGAGGCCGAGAAGACCAGGCAUGGCCUAACUCCAGUUUACAGAGGACAGAUGCUUACCUUAGAGAAGACCAUUACAAUUGGCAGUUUUGUUGGCAAUCUCUUCAGAAAAGCUUGACACUGAAGCUAGAAUUUUUAAAAGAUCCCAAGAAAAUUAGGUGCUGAACUCCCAUUGAAAUGCAAUGGGCAGUGCGUACCUAAUUCUUCAGAACAUUUUGAAACCCAGAACUUGAAUAUGAUGAUCUAAUUAUGCUGAUAUUCUUGGAGACAUUCUUUUCUAGGCACACUGUAAUGCAGCACAGGAAUGCUUGUGUUGAGGCUACCCAUUCUGUGCUUAUGCAGAUUUUAAAGGCUUUUAUCUCACAUCUACCACAAGCUUUACAUAAAGAUGUUAUCUCAUAAAUUUUCAGCGAGUGUCCUUUAAAUAUUUCUGACAGAUAGAUGUGGGAGGUGAAAACAAUGUAUUUCUUUUACUGUAUGUACAGGAAGUCUUCCUCGCACCAACGAAAACUGUUUUUGUGGCUAUUGUAUACACUGCAUUUAUAAUCUGUGUUUAAAAUAAUGUAAAUGUAUGUGUAUCUCAAAAAUAUAGAGGGGAUAUGCAUGUAACUACAUGCAGAAUUAUGUAUUAAACAAGUGUUAUA